rnacentral:ribozyme from 1 species
GCUGCGAAGAUGUAGUUUCAGAGAUUGCACCCCCAAUUGCAUCACCUCUUCUUGGCCAUGGUGCUAAUUUAUAUGCUUUACUUGGUGUCACUCUUGAUG